GACGAACGCUGGCGGCGUGCCUAAUACAUGCAAGUAGAACGCUGAAGGAGGAGCUUGCUCUUCUGGAUGAGUUGCGAACGGGUGAGUAACGCGUAGGUAACCUGCCUGGUAGCGGGGGAUAACUAUUGGAAACGAUAGCUAAUACCGCAUAAGAGUAGAUGUUGCAUGACAUUUACUUAAAAGGUGCAAUUGCAUCACUACCAGAUGGACCUGCGUUGUAUUAGCUAGUUGGUGGGGUAACGGCUUACCAAGGCGACGAUACAUUGCCGACCUGAGAGGGUGAUCGGCCACACUGGGACUGAGACACGGCCCAGACUCCUACGGGAGGCAGCAGUAGGGAAUCUUCGGCAAUGGACGGAAGUCUGACCGAGCAACGCCGCGUGAGUGAAGAAGGUUUUCGGAUCGUAAAGCUCUGUUGUAAGAGAAGAACGAGUGUGAGAGUGGAAAGUUCACACUGUGACGGUAUCUUACCAGAAAGGGACGGCUAACUACGUG
rnacentral:rRNA from 1 species